rnacentral:rRNA from 1 species
AUUGAACGCUGGCGGCAUGCUUUACACAUGCAAGUCGAACGGUAACAGGCCUUCGGGUGCUGACGAGUGGCGAACGGGUGAGUAAUGCAUCGGAACGUACCCAGAGGUGGGGGAUAACGCAGCGAAAGCUGUGCUAAUACCGCAUGUGAUCUGAGGAUGAAAGCGGGGGACCGAGCAGCAAUGUUUGGCCUCGCGCCUUUGGAGCGGCCGAUGUCGGAUUAGCUAGUUGGUGGGGUAAAGGCCUACCAAGGCGACGAUCCGUAGCUGGACUGAGAGGACGACCAGCCACACUGGGACUGAGACACGGCCCAGACUCCUACGGGAGGCAGCAGUGGGGAAUUUUGGACAAUGGGCGCAAGCCUGAUCCAGCAAUGCCGCGUGAGGGAAGAAGGACUUCGGGUUGUAAACCGCUUUUGGCAGGAACGAAACGGUGUCCGCUAAUACCGGGCGCUAAUGACGGUACCUGCAGAAUAAGCACCGGCUAACUACGUG